rnacentral:rRNA from 2 species
AAAUUGAAGAGUUUGAUCAUGGCUCAGAUUGAACGCUGGCGGCAGGCCUAACACAUGCAAGUCGAACGGUAGCACAGAGAGCUUGCUCUCGGGUGACGAGUGGCGGACGGGUGAGUAAUGUCUGGGAAACUGCCUGAUGGAGGGGGAUAACUACUGGAAACGGUGGCUAAUACCGCAUAACGUCGCAAGACCAAAGAGGGGGACCUUCGGGCCUCUUGCCAUCAGAUGUGCCCAGAUGGGAUUAGCUUGUUGGUGAGGUAACGGCUCACCAAGGCGACGAUCCCUAGCUGGUCUGAGAGGAUGACCAGCC